rnacentral:rRNA from 1 species
CGUGAGUGAUGAAGGCCCUCGGGUUGUAAAGCUCUUUCAGCAGGGACGAAAAUGACGGUACCUGCAUAAGAAGCUCCGGCCAACUUCGUGCCCGCCGCCCCGGUA